rnacentral:rRNA from 1 species
CCUACGGGGAGCAGCAGUGAGGAAUAUUCGUCAAUGGACGCAAGUCUGAACCAGCCAUGCCGCGUGCAGGAAGACGGCUCUAUGAGUUGUAAACUGCUUUUGUACGAGGGUAAACGCAGAUACGCGUAUCUGUCUGAAAGUAACGUACGAAUAAGGAUCGGCGAACUCCGGGCCAGCAGCCGCGGGCAUACGGAGGCUUCAAUCGUUAUCCGGGUUUGUUGGGUUUAAAGGGUGCGUAGGCGGUCGGAUAAGUUAGAGGUGAAAUCGCGAGGCUUAACUUCGGAAUUGCCUCUGAUACUGUUCGGCUAGAGAGUAGUUGCGGUAGGUGGAAUGUAUGGUGUAGCGGUGAAAUGCUUAGAGAUCAGACAGAACACCGAUGGCGAAGGCAGCUUACCAAGCUACUUCUGACGUUGAGGCACGAAAGCGUGGGGAGCAAACAGGAUUAGAUACCCCAGUAGUC